rnacentral:rRNA from 1 species
UACAGAGGUCUCAAGCGUUGUUCGGAUUCAUUGGGCGUAAAGGGUGCGUAGGCGGCGCGGUAAGUCGGGUGUGAAAUCUUGGAGCUUAACUCCGAAACUGCAUUCGAUACUGCCGUGCUUGAGGACUGGAGAGGAGACUGGAAUUUACGGUGUAGCGGUGAAAUGCGUAGAUAUCGGGAGGAACACCAAUGGCGAAGGCAGCUUGCUGGGACGGUACUGACGCUGAGGCGCGAAAGCGUGGGGAGCAAACAGG